AAUCUUGAUAAGCUUACUCAGAAGUAGUAUCAACACCUUCAUCCUAGUUCAAUCUCGAGCUUCCAACACCUAACUUUAGAAUUCAAACAAAGAUUCAUCAUCUGCAUGCCACCAAAGAAACUGUCAUCCAACUUAUAAAAGGUAAGGUAGACUUUGGGUGAGUCAUUAAGAAGUCAUAUUGACUGUUUCAAUGCAAAAGCCAUCCA
rnacentral:misc_RNA from 1 species